GGAGAUAUGGCUCAGUAGUAGGGUACCUGCCUAACAAACUUGAAACCCUGAGUUCAAACCUCGGUACAGCCA
rnacentral:tRNA from 1 species